UACGGAGGGGGCAGCGUUGUUCGGAAUUACUGGGCGUAAAGGGCGCGCAGGCGGCUGCUCAAGUCAGGCGUGAAAGGCCUGGGCUCAACCCGGGAAUUGCGCUUGAGACUGGGCUGGCUUGAGUGCGGGAGAGGAUGGUGGAAUUCCCAGUGUAGAGGUGAAAUUCGUAGAUAUUGGGAAGAACACCGGUGGCGAAGGCGGCCAUCUGGACCGCAACUGACGCUGAGGCGCGAAAAGCGUGGGGGAGCAAACAGGG
rnacentral:rRNA from 1 species